GCAAGUCGAGCGGUAACAUCAAGGCGCUUGCCCCUUUGCUGACGAGCGGCGGGCGGGUGAGUCAUGCUUGGGAAUAUGCCUUAUGGUGGGGGACAACAGUUGGAAACGACUGCUAAUACCGCAUAACGUCUACGGGCCAAAGGGGGGGAUCUUCGGACCUCUCGCCAUUUGAUUAGCCCAAGUGAGAUUAGCUAGUUGGUAAGGUAAAGGCUUACCAAGGCGACGAUCUCUAGCUGGUUUGAGAGGAUGAUC
rnacentral:rRNA from 1 species